ensembl:lncRNA
CCUCCUGCCGCACUGGCCGCCGUGGGUGCGGGGGAGGGGUGGGGGGGGCAGCUUGGCGGUGACGCGCGGCCCUCACGUGACCCGGAGCUGCAGAGCGACGCAGCCCUGGGUGCAGUCGUCACUCGCGUCUGGCUACCAGCUCCCCGCUGCCCUGCGCACGGCGGGCUGGCAUCGGGCCCGGGGAAAGCGGAGCAGAUCUACCGGGCCGAGUGUCGCGGCGGCACCGAAUCAGAAGGAGAGGCAAGGAUAGGCCCAGGUUGGUGAGUAGGGCACCGCUGGGGGCGAGGGCAAGGGGUCGGGGACGUAUGGAAAGACCAGUA